UACGAAGGGGGCUAGCGUUGCUCGGAAUCACUGGGCGUAAAGGGUGCGUAGGCGGGUCUUUAAGUCAGGGGUGAAAUCCUGGAGCUCAACUCCAGAACUGCCUUUGAUACUGAAGAUCUUGAGUCCGGGAGAGGUGAGUGGAACUGCGAGUGUAGAGGUGAAAUUCGUAGAUAUCGAGAGGAACACCUGCGGCGAAGGCGGGUUGCUGGGCUGACACUGACGCUGAUGCGCGAAAGCCAGGGGAGCGAACGGG
rnacentral:rRNA from 1 species